rnacentral:rRNA from 1 species
AUUGAACGCUGGCGGCAGGCCUAACACAUGCAAGUCGAGCAAGCGGCGGACGGGUUAGUAAUGUAUGGGGAUCUGCCCGAUAGAGGGGGAUAACUACUGGAAACGGUGGCUAAUACCGCAUACUAUCGGAUGAACCCAUAGUGGAUUAGCUAGUAGGUGGGGUAAAGGCGCACCUAGCCGAAGAUCUCUAGCUGGUCUGAGAGGAUGACCUGCCACACUGGGACUGAUACACGGCCCAGACUCCUACGGGAGGCAGCAGGGGGGAAUAUUGCGCAAGGGGGGCAUCCCUGACGCAGCCAUGCCGCGUGAAUGAAGAAGGCCUUCGGGUUGUAAAGUUCUUUCGGUAGCGAGGCGUUAACUACAGAAGAAGAACCGGCUAACUCCGUGCCAGCCGCCGCGGUAAUUC